GCGACGGUAUGGCCUCUCCUCCCUCGCUGUUAAUUAGUGUUAGGGUUUAUAAUGUUUGAAAUUUGAAGUUAAUUAGGCUUUUAAAUGUUUAGUUUAAGCUAUUUAGGGUUUAAAUUAAUCUUGAUGUUUAUGUUUAGUUCUAGUUACUUAGGAUUUUUAAUGUUUAGUUCUAGCUAUUUAGGGUUUAAAUUAAUCUUGAUAUUUAUGUUUAGUUCUAGUUACUUAGGAUUUUUAAUGUUUAGUUCUAGCUAUUUAGGGUUUAAAUCUUGCUGUUUAUGUUUUUUUCUAGUUACUUAGGCUUUUUAAUGUUUAGUUCUAGCUAUGUGGUUGCUGUUUAUGUUCAUUAUUACUGCUCUUGGUGCAAAGAUUGAUACAUGGAUGUGAUCCCGACCAUCGUGUCGGUUGAUAUGAGGAAUGUGGGCCCGGCCAUUGUGCCGGGUCCUUGAGAAGGGUCCGGCCAUCGUGCCGAGGGGGUAUAUGUGGGUGGGAGUUUUUUUUAUGCAGGUAUAACAUUCGGGUAGACUCAUUUGUUGUUUUACAGCAAUGGGCAUGCCGAAAUUUUCUUGUUUUACAGCAUAGGUAGCGAAUUUUUCUGUUUUUUUAAAUUACUUUUAUAAGUGUUGGAUAGGAACCUCAGGCUCGCGUUGUAGUGGUGCCUGAGCAGCCACCGGUUGUGGAGGGACAAGUCGAAAAAGAAGCGGGGGCAUCUUCCUCGGGCUCGGAAAUUGCCAUGAGCGAAGAAGGAUCCGAGGAGCAGCUGUUCCUUGAAGAAGCCGAGGGGCAGCUGCUCCUUGAAGAAGCAGCUCACGAGGAAGGAGCCCAGGGUGCG
rnacentral:lncRNA from 1 species